AGAAGACAGGAACCCUGCAUUUGUCUCUGUAGCUGAGUCAGCUGCAAAUGAGCUUUAGGGAAAUCAGGGUAAAUGGGAUCUGAAGAGCACACGUCUGUACU